GCCUAACCCUGAUUGUAAUGGAAAGCUUCCGAUUUUUAUCGGAACUUGGAAUGGAAAGCAGGAAAAUGG
rnacentral:sRNA from 1 species